UACGUAGGUGGCAAGCGUUGUCCGGAAUCAUUGGGCGUAAAGCGCGCGCAGGCGGUCCUUUAAGUCUGAUGUGAAAUCUUGCGGCUCAACCGUAAGCGGUCAUUGGAAACUGGGGGACUUGAGUGCAGGAGAGGAAAGCGGAAUUCCAUGUGUAGCGGUGAAAUGCGUAGAGAUAUGGAGGAACACCAGUGGCGAAGGCGGCUUUCUGGCCUGUAACUGACGCUGAGGCGCGAAAGCGUGGGGAGCAAAC
rnacentral:rRNA from 1 species